rnacentral:tRNA from 1 species
GCCGAAAUAGCUCAGCUGGUAGAGCAACGCAUUCGUAAUGCGUAGGUCGCCGGUUCGAGUCCGGCCGGGA